ACUUUUUUCAAAAUACAGUUUUGAAAAAAGUCUUACAAUUGUGAAACCACUGCAGCAGACUCAAAGUGCCCUUUGGUAUAUUUAAGAGACACUCUGUAUCUGCUGUGUUCCACUGGGAGGCCACUGGAGAAGAAAUAUGUGCAUCAGGCUAGCCUGAAAAAAAAAAACAGGCCUAGAAACGUAAGACCUUCACAUGAGCUUUCUCUUCCCAAGAGAACUCCCAGUUAGCCCGUCAUCUAUGCUAUGUUUUGCUUCUGUUAGUAGAUUUUUCUUUCUUUUUUAAAACCUAUUCUAAGAAGAAUUUGUGAUAACAACUCAAUCAUAUGUAAGUGUCUGGACAGACAAGGGAACAGUAAGCAGAAAUAAUGGAUGUUCUGAAGAAUGCUCUUCUUAUUUUUACAGUUUUCAACAUCCCUGCUUGACUUGUUCCUAAGUCAUUUGUACCUCCUCCUUUCAUGAGUUUUUUCACGAAAAAAUAAGCUGCAAUGGAGGAGACAAGCAGCAAAACAUUGAUCUGAUCAAUGAGUAAAAAGUAAUGAUGCUCUGGCAUACAAAGAAAAAUUCAUUAUAAGGAGGUGAACACUUAUUACCCACUAUGGCAUCAGCGUUAACUCAGUUCUGUAGCCUUUGUAUCAAUUCUGCUCUACAAUGUUCUCAAAGAGUUCUCUGUGCCAAAGGUUCAAGAAGGGUUGGGAGAUAGCUGGUGGUCCAGUAAAUAGCUGAAGCUCUUAAAUGUGUACAUUAAGAAAAUGAAAAAGACAGGUAACAAAUAAUCUUAUCUUGAAGCUCAGAUGUUACAGAGCCAAAAUUAAACCACAAAAAGGCAAGGGAAAAACAUCCCCGUGGAAAAGGGACUAUCUUUGUUGAGGGCUUACAGACGGCCUCCCUGUCCCCAAGUACUACUGCACUGCCAGGCUCUAUUUUUACUCUCUCCUUCCUAUCUGGUGUGAAGAGAUAAAAGGCCUCAGCAACUGAAUAUUGCAUUUCACAGUGUAUUUUUGAAGGACAGAUGCUCACUUACACACGUUUGAAGAUAGUUAAGAAUGAAUAGAACGCACGUGUGGGCUCAGGACAGAAGUCUAGGAUUACCUGGCCUCACAAGCAUUUUCCAACUCCAUAACCUCAUUCAGCCCGAUAUUUUUCCAAAAAUGUACUCAUUGGUCUGAAGGCAUUAUCACAGCAGCUAACAAAAUGCACGUUAGAAACUAUUUAUCAGCUGGCACUUCCAUGGAGUAGCAAAGCAGUGUAAGUGAUAAGAGAAUGGUGGAGCACAGCAUACCAGCCUCCUGCUGGAGUCCAUCCAGGUCUAUGUAUGAGUCCACACAGUAUUGGAAUGCUCUGAAUACAAACUCAAACUUUUAAGAAGGAGCCCCAGUUACACCCACUUUGAAUGAGCAUAGAGAACAGCUAGUUUUCCAAUUAUGCUACACUGGCUGUUAUGAUUUAUCACUGAUAACUCUUUGUGUAUUUUGAAGUAUUUUCAAACGUAGUAUUAGAUUAUCUAGGUUUGUUUACUUAUUUUCACAAGCACAGCAUUCUUAUUAAUUAGAGAUUAAAUGUCUAAAUCCUCAAAUUCUGGAAACUGAACACACUGCCAUGUUCUCUGCUCCUCAGACAGCUCCUUUAGGAUCAUGUUUUGAAAGGAGCUCAGGACCAGGAAAGCCAACUGAGAAGGUCCUGCAUUACCAAACUCUACGCAGAUGAUCCAAAACCAAAGGAUGGAAGUGCUACUGACUGCAGCAGCUUCAUUACCAGCCACUAGCUGCAGAUCUGCCAGCUGCAGCCUUCAGAGACACUCCUGUGCCUCUCAUUCUUUCAUUAAGGGUGAGCUGAAGAAAAUAGCUGCAGCUGUACCUCAUGCUGCGAGCCCAGAGAUCCUCCCCUCUGCUCAGCCACACUUUUAUUCCAUGAAGUUUUCAGAACACAUCUCAGUUUGAAAAGGGAAAAACAUUUAUUUUACCAUUUUUCUCUGAGCUUCAGUGACUGACAAAAGGUACCACUUUUUUUCCACCUGCAAAACUUUAAGGAAAUCCAAUGAUCACAAAGCCAACCAGAUACAUAACGAGAGCAGAAAAAAUCCUCUUCCAGAGCAUCAGAUAAAUAAGAAUUGAUUUCAAGAAUUGAUACAGCAUGAAUAUCUGAAUAAAUUAGUUUUUUAAGGUAACAGCCAAAGCACUGAACCAGCAGCCUCCAGCACCUGCUGCCUACGUUCUACCCAGCCCACAUUGGUUUCUCUGCAGGGACUUCCCUGGCUCUCCCCACCCUGGGCCCAGCUGGCUGCAACACGGCUGACAGAGCUGAGGGGACUCUGUACAGGACUCUCCAAGUGGAUGCUUCUUCCGGUUCCCAAAACACACAACAGCUAAUUAGUCCCAUGUUGUUAGCAUUACCGUGAUAAACAAUCUAUGCUCUUCUUGCCUGAAGUACUGUUCUCUCUGUGGCAUCAUGCACAAACACAGACAAGCCUACCAUAACAUUUAUUUCUCCACCAGUAGGAAAAAAACGUAGUUCCACCACCAUUUGUAUCACAUUUCUCAAAGACAAAACUUCCUCUUGAGCAGCCCCAGCAUGUCAUUAUUUUGCUGUUAGUUGCUCCAAGAUUAGAAAAGCCAGACCAGCAGACAGAAGAAUGGCAGACGGUGCCAUCUACUUCUGAAGAGACUUCACACAGAAGUUGUGCUGUACUGCCUUGGGCUUCAAGUUUCCUCAGGGGAACUUGCCCUGUGAGUGCCCAUCCCUUCUGAAUGCUGCACCUCAAACUCACCAUGAAGUGCGUGGCACGCGCAAAGAAACUAAAGCUCGUAACUUUUGCUACAUUCUUCCCUAUCCUUGGACGCAGAAGAACAGGAUAUGUAGGUACAGUUACCUUCAUCAGUGUAAUCUGCGUUCUUGUGUUCCUGGCACCAAAAAUUGCUUGCCCUCAUUCAACAAGGAUGCAGUUGGCAGCUGUCCCGCAUUCUGAACAGAACAUUCCCUUCAGGAGGGCCUCCUCCACCCAAAGCAGCAGCCUGCCAGCCCCUCUCACCUGUGACAGCGCUGCUCAGCCCCUGCAGUCAUGCCAAGCACCCAACCAGAUGGCAAGGGGUUUGCUUUCCAUCACAGAGGAAAGAGCAAAACAAAGAGAAAGCAGAAAUCCACCUGGUACUGACAGAUUUGUCAUUAACGUCAGCAACAUCUGCACGUCCCAAUAAAUGUAUUAAGAUUACAAACCAAAUAAAACAAUUACUGUGAUAUUUUGACACACAGAGAGGUGGAAGAGCCAAAAGAGCUUUAUGGAAAAAAACAACUAGCUGCAAUACCUGCAAAAAUACACUGCAGAAAGAACAGGAGGACACAAUGAGGAUAAUUACCUUAGCCUCUACAACUACAGACCAAUUUAGUGACACAUUUCAAGUUAAUGUAUGCUUCUUCUUAAAAGCUAACAAAUAAUUCUCAGAAAUAUGGCAUUUUCAGGAACAUUUAAGCCAUAUUAAAUAGUCCUUAUCAGAGACAACCUCUAAUUCCGUAUUAAAAUAAAAGUUCACAGAUUGUCUUACUAAUUGUCUUUCAUCAUCUGUCUUGUCUUGAACUAAAUUUACUACCCCCUACUCUUUCUAAACUUCACUUGCUGUUCCAAUGGCUCUUCAGUGCGAUGGAGGUCAUUGGUAUGUCUCAGACACCUCCAAAAAUAAGUUACUUGCAUAAAAAAGCAUAUUAAAAUCUACUGCAGACCUGGAUGCCCUUCACAGACAUUUCUGCAAAACUCAUUCAGCAACCACAACAUAUUCCAUUUUAUUUAUAGCUAAGAGUCUAAGCUUAUUUUAAUAAAUCUGUAUUCACGAAGACACAGAAAAAGAACUUCCUCAGUAGUUGAAAGCUUGUUUCAACAGCAGCACAGUACAGAAGCUGGUACGACAAGGAAAGGUGACACAGUUCUUAUCUGCAUUACGGCACCAGGACAGCUGAGCUGGCUCAAAAGGAAGCAGUGCCUUCACGCAGUGUGAGCACAGCUACCUGCUCUGCUGGAAUGAGGGCUGUGGCUGGCUGUGCUCUGGGCUCUGCACCACCCUCACUGGAGCUCCGGGCAAGAAGGGAUCUGAUCAUAUGAGGGGGGGAAGCUAAUGCAAAAUGAGCCCUAAGCCAUUCUUCACCGAUUUGCUCCUUCCAUGGUGCUCAGCGCCCUAACAGAUGACCUCCCUAAUUUCCCCCAAACUCCAGCAAUGUUUGACCUGGAAAAAGUUAAUGAAAUAUUCUCCUUGAUUCUUAGUUUCUGAAAGCAAAAGCCAUUUUUCAGCACUGUCCUGUGAGUUUUGAGGAAAGUCUGUCACGGUCAAAUUUAAUUGAGAUCUCAUACCUUUUGAGGCUACAGCUUAGCCUAAUAAUGAGCUUUUUGAAAGUAACUUGUACAAGAAAUUGGUGAAAAGCAAGCUUUAACUCUUCUUCCAAAAUUCAAGCUGCCAACCAAAAAUAACCACAGGAUUAAAAUGAACUUUCUCUGCCAUUUCCAUCAAGCACCUAGAAGUGAAAAAAUGAGGCUGGUCACUGUGUCCUCUACACUCCUGCUGCUGCUCCCUAAGUAGGAUUAAAGAGAGACAGACCUGUAUAAAAGGACAAGCUACAAGAAAAGAAAAACACCAGAUCCGAAGACAGCAAGGCACAGACUGCUUGAGACCAAGAGGAACAGCAGACAGCACCGUGAGAAUGGCUGGAACAGAGGCAGCUCUGCAGCAAGCUCUUCCUCUGCUUCAUAAUGAGCAGCACAGAAAGUGAUAUAAGCAGCAGUAGGAAAGCAAAAUCAUUUUAACUGGCACACGGUCUUUGGUGGUGGGGUGUUGUAUUGUUUUUGUUGUUGUUGUUUUCCCCAGAACAACUUCUGAGUAAGAUCUGACACAGCAAUGAGGUCAAGCCAUCACCACAUUUGGAUGUGUGAGGACGUGACCUAAGAGGCUCCCGAGAGUCCUGAGGGAGCUCAUGUUGGUAACUUCAAAAAUAAGCUCUAAUGAAUUGGUGUCAGUGCACUGACUCUCAA